UAGGGAAUCUUCCGCAAUGGGCGAAAGCUUGACGGAGCAACGCCGCGUGAGUGAUGAAGGUCUUCGGAUCGUAAAACUCUGUUAUUAGGGAAGAACAAAUGUGUAAGUAACUAUGCACGUCUUGACGGUACCUAAUCAGAAAGCCACGGCUAACUACGUGCCAGCAGCCGCGGUAAUACGUAGGUGGCAAGCGUUAUCCGGAAUUAUUGGGCGUAAAGCGCGCGUAGGCGGUUUUUUAAGUCUGAUGUGAAAGCCCACGGCUCAACCGUGGAGGGUCAUUGGAAACUGGAAAACUUGAGUGGAGAAGAGGAAAGUGGAAUUCCAUGUGUAGCGGUGAAAUGCGCAGAGAUAUGGAGGAACACCAGUGGCGAAGGCGACUUUCUGGUCUGUAACUGACGCUGAUGUGCGAAAGCGUGGGGAUCAAACAGG
rnacentral:rRNA from 1 species